GCCAGCUAGGAAAGGCCAGACGGGCCAGGGCGCACUGGGCGGGAGGCGGGGCACCGUCAGGGCGGUGCCCCGCCUCCCGCCCAGCCUGACGGCGCCCCCCCGGGCCUGCGCCCGAGGCGGCGGCGUCAGGGGCCUCAAUAGUGGGGCCGGCCCUGCCAACAAAAUGUCCCUUCAAAUUUUCUCAAAUGACCACAUUAUCUUCCCAGUGGCACCAAGAUUGGGUGGUUUCCCUACAUUUAUACAAUUUUCCCUAGUGGCAGAUAAUUUAGUCCACUCUGCGGGGGUUUUCUGACACACACACAAAUCCUUUAAAAUCCAUAUUCUGCAAUUCGCUUCUGGUGUGAGAGAAUCAGGCAUCUACAAAGAUAUUGCCCAGGGUACGCCUGGAUGUGUCACAAUCUCGUGGGGAGGAAUGGAUUGUGUAGAGCCAAUCUUCAGAAAUGGGGCUACAAAGUGGAGUCCACGACAUGUGAGUGUGAGGAAGAGCAAACCACAGACAACUUACUUCAAUGCGGUCUGAGCACUGCCACGUGCACAACGGAGGAUCUUCUCACAGUGACUCCAAGUGGCCAGAUUCUGGUCAAAGGACAUUUAGUAUAAUGCCAAGUUUUAACUUUGUUUGUGUUUCUAAAUACAUUACAAUUAUAUUUUAUAUAUCCUGAUACGAUGAAUAAAUAGAUAAAUAAAUAAAUCCACAUGCUCCUCACUCUGCCUAAUCUUAGGACUAUUCCUACCCACCCUCUACACACAGCUUCAUAGAAAAGUGAAUAUUAAGAAAGGAUUUGAAAUAGAAACCAGUCACACGCCUUUCUUAGCAACAUCACUUCAUUCAUACUAUUAAGUGUUCCUUGCCAAAGCAAUACCAAAGAUAAAUGUCUGCACAUUUUAAAUAAUGCAGUCAUGCUGUCAGUCUGUUUUCUCUUAUACACUAUCUUGUACAUUAUCUAAUUUGAUGACAGCUAUUCAUAUAGCAGAGGAUUUCUCAGGUGAUAUCAGCAUAUGGCAGAAGAUAACAUUGUCAUAAAAAAGAGACUCGGCAUAAAUCUUGCCAGCUGCAGGAGAAUGUCUGCAGUUUUAUAUUGUAUGCCUAUAAAACUGCAAGCAUUCCUCCUGCAGCUGGCAAGAUUUAUGCUGAGUCUCUUUUUAUUAGGAUUUUAUUAGGAUAUCUUUUCCACCCCUGUUAAUACAAGUUUAUCUAAACAUUUGUUCUCAUUUUCCCCCAUCUGUACUGGAAUACAUUUUCCAUCAUCUCUUGUGAUUAUGUCAGCCAGCUUGUUAUCGUGCCUUUAUAGCUUUAUAGCCUGAUAAGAGUUGCAGUCCUACAGCAUGUAGAGUGCCACAUUUUUUCUAUUCUUAUUAUAGUGAUACACUCAGAGCUUGGAAGGGAGGCCUAUAGGUAGCAUGCUUUUUCCUUUUUUUUCCUUUUUUUUACCUUAAGCAGUUACUUUGGGGUCAGUGCAUGAAAAUCAAAUAUUUAUGUGGUUUUUUAAAAUCACAACGUCUGCUAGAUUGUUGGUGUGGGAUUAUGCAACUAAUAAUUUCUGGUAUUCAGUAUUUCAGUUAUAUGGAUUUAUAACUUAGAAUUACUGAUUCAUAAGAGAUAUGUGUGACGGCGCGAGUGGCGCCAUCUAUAUGUUGAACUAUAAGUUGCAAGAUUUGAAUUGUAUCAUGCCUGAUUUUGCCCUUACCCUGUAAAUGUAGUUGGAUUGGUUAUUUAUAUCUGUCAAUCAAUGUUGUUUGUACCUGUUAUAUUGCUCACUCAGCAAAACUGUUUGGCUCCACCUCUUCCUGGAGUAGGACUGUGUUUCCUCCUUUUCAUUCCACCAGCAAGCUCUCUAUCGGAUGGACAUGAGAGAGAGACUUGGCACUAAAAGCCCUUCAAAAGUUACCUCUCAGCACCAAUUCUGAGUUUCAAGCGCCUUCACAUCAGUCCUUUGGCAACAGAGGAAGACUCUUGUCUUCAGAUAUAGGUCAUUGGACUGAGGCUGAGUUUGCUCCGGCAUUCACAGCCAGAGAAAGAGGGAUCUAGAAGGCUCCACGGACUUAAACAAUCAAAGACUGUAAUGUAUAUUUUCUUUUACCCCCUUUGUGAACAAUAAACCCAGUUUUUGAGUUAUC